rnacentral:rRNA from 1 species
GACGAACGCUGGCGGCGUGGAUUAGGCAUGCAAGUCGAACGGUAUCAUCCUUUCGGGGGUGAGAGAGUGGCGAACUGGUGAGUAACACGUAGGUUAUCUACCCUCAAGACGGGGACAACCCAGGGAAACUUGGGCUAAUACCGGAUGUGAGCAACCUUUAGUUGUUUGAAAGGUGGCGUAAGCUGUCGCUUGGGGAUGAGCCUGCGUCCUAUUAGUUAGUUGGUGAGGUAACGGCUCACCUAGGCAAUGAUAGGUAGGCGGCCUUAACGGGUGGUCGCCCACACUGGGAUUGAGAUACGGCCCAGACUCCUACGGGAGGCAGCAGUCGAGAAUAGUCUACAAUGGCCGAAAGGCUGAUAGUGCGACGCCGCGUGAACGAAGAAGCCCUUCGGGGUGUAAAGUUCUUUUAUAUGUGAGCAGUGCUUUCUAUGUGAACAGCAUGGGGAGAGAGAUAUUAGCAUAUGAAUAAGCAACGGCUAACUCCGUGCCAGCAGCCGCGGU